GGGGAGGUGUCCGAGUGGUUGAAGGUGCCAGACUCGAAAUCUGGUGUGGCGAAAGUCACCGAGGGUUCGAAUCCCUCCCUCUCCG
rfam:Plesiocystis pacifica SIR-1 1103186006307, whole genome shotgun sequence.